AUGUAAAUUUUAGAUGAUUUUGGUAGUGCUUCCGGUCUUAGCAUUAACCCACAGAAAUCCACGGCAACGCCUAUUACCUGUAACGACAUCAAUCUUCAAAUGCUGGAAAACUUUGGAAGACGAAUCACCAGCUUCCCCCUGUGCUACCUCGGCCUGCCAAUCAUUGUCUCUCGUCUUUGAAUGGUUCAUCUGUAGGUCAUCCUAGAUGGCAUCAAGGCUCAAAUGAUAGGGUGGAAGGGAAGAUUGUUGUCAAUAGCGGGCAGACGAGUGCUGGUGCGAUGUGUCCUCAUCGCCCUCCCCACCUUUACAAUCAUGGUUCUGAAAGUUCCAAAAAAGUCCUUCAAAGAUCUGGACAAAUCACAAAGAUGCUUCCUCUAG
rnacentral:rRNA from 1 species